rnacentral:rRNA from 1 species
GACGAACGCUGGCGGCGUGCUUAACACAUGCAAGUCGAACGGAAAGGCCCUGCUCUUGUGGGGUGCUCGAGUGGCGAACGGGUGAGUAACACGUGAGUAACCUGCCCUUGACUUUGGGAUAACUUCAGGAAACUGGGGCUAAUACCGGAUAGGAUCUCCUGCUGCAUGGUGGGGGUUGGAAAGUUUCGGCGGUUGGGGAUGGACUCGCGGCUUAUCCGCUUGUUUGUGGAGUAGUGGCUUACCAAGGCUAUGACGGGUAGCCGGCCUGAGAGGGUGACCGGCCACAUUGGGACUGAGAUAGGGACCAGACGCCUACGGGAGGCAGCAGUGGGGAAUAUUGCACAAUGGGCGGAAGCGUGAUGCGGCAACGCCGCGUGCGGGAUGACGGCCUUCGGGUUGUAAACCGCUUUCGCCUGUGACGAAGCGUGAGUGACGGUAAUGGGUAAAGAAGCACCGGCUAACUACGUG